rnacentral:rRNA from 1 species
AUUGAACGCUGGCGGCAUGCCUUACACAUGCAAGUCGAACGGCAGCACGGGGCAACCUGGUGGCGAGUGGCGAACGGGUGAGUAAUGCAUCGGAACGUACCUUUCAGUGGGGGAUAACGUAGCGAAAGUUACGCUAAUACCGCAUAUUCUGUGAGCAGGAAAGCAGGGGAUCGCAAGACCUUGCGCUGAUUGAGCGGCCGAUGUCAGAUUAGCUAGUUGGUGAGGUAAAGACUCACCAAGGCGACGAUCUGUAGCGGGUCUGAGAGGAUGAUCCGCCACACUGGAACGGAGACACGGUCCAGACUCCUACGGGAGGCAGCAGUGGGGAAUUUUGGACAAUGGGGGCAACCCUGAUCCAGCCAUGCCGCGUGAGUGAAGAAGGCCUUCGGGUUGUAAAGCUCUUUCGGCCGGGAAGAAAUCGCACGGGCUAAUACCCUGUGUGGAUGACGGUACCGGAAUAAGAAGCACCGGCUAACUACGUGCCAGCCGCCGCAGUAAUAC